AUACUUACCUGGCAAGGGAGAUACCGGGAUCAAGAAGGCGGUUCACCCAGGGCGAGGCUCAGCCAUUGCACUCCGGCUGUGCUGACCCCUGCGAAUUUCCCAAAUGUGGAAAUCUCGAUUGCAUAAUUUAUGGUAGUGGGGGACUGCGUUCGCGCUCGCCCCUG
rnacentral:snRNA from 8 species